UUGAAGUUCAGGUAACACUGAAUGGAGGACCGAACCGACUUACGUUGAAAAGUGAGCGGAUGAACUGAGGGUAGCGGAGAAAUUCCAAUCGAACCUGGAGAUAGCUGGUUCUCUCCGAAAUAGCUUUAGGGCUAGCCUCAAGUGAUGAUUAUUGGAGGUAGAGCACUGUUUGGACGAGGGGCCCCUCUCGGGUUACCGAAUUCAGACAAACUCCGAAUGCCAAUUAAUUUAACUUGGGAGUCAGAACAUGGGUGAUAAGGUCCGUGUUCGAAAGGGAAACAGCCCAGACCACCAGCUAAGGUCCCAAAAUAUAUGUUAAGUGGAAAAGGAUGUGGCGUUGCCCAGACAACUAGGAUGUUGGCUUAGAAGCAGCCAUCAUUUAAAGAGUGCGUAAUAGCUCACUAGUCGAGUGACACUGCGCCGAAAAUGUACCGGGGCUAAACAUAUUACCGAAGCUGUGGAUUGUCCUUUGGACAAUGGUAGGAGAGCGUUCUAAGGGCGUUGAAGCAUGAUCGUAAGGACAUGUGGAGCGCUUAGAAGUGAGAAUGCCGGUGUGAGUAGCGAAAGACGGGUGAGAAUCCCGUCCACCGAUUGACUAAGGUUUCCAGAGGAAGGCUCGUCCGCUCUGGGUUAGUCGGGUCCUAAGCUGAGGCCGACAGGCGUAGGCGAUGGAUAACAGGUUGAUAUUCCUGUACCACCUAUAAUCGUUUUAAUCGAUGGGGGGACGCAGUAGGAUAGGCGAAGCGUGCGAUUGGAUUGCACGUCUAAGCAGUAAGGCUGAGUAUUAGGCAAAUCCGGUACUCGUUAAGGCUGAGCUGUGAUGGGGAGAAGACAUUGUGUCUUCGAGUCGUUGAUUUCACACUGCCGAGAAAAGCCUCUAGAUAGAAAAUAGGUGCCCGUACCGCAAACCGACACAGGUAGUCAAGAUGAGAAUUCUAAGGUGAGCGAGCGAACUCUCGUUAAGGAACUCGGCAAAAUGACCCCGUAACUUCGGGAGAAGGGGUGCUCUUUAGGGUUAACGCCCAGAAGAGCCGCAGUGAAUAGGCCCAAGCGACUGUUUAUCAAAAACACAGGUCUC
rnacentral:rRNA from 1 species